UUCUUAUCCCCGUCCCGCUUUUCUCAUCUUGCAACGUCAAACAACAUCAUCAUGUCCGAUAAAUGCAUACACCCUCUAUUAUCUCACAUAAUUACCGAUGCUCACUCGAAAUUGCGUAUCCAUUAAUGAUACUCAUACAAGUCGACGACGCCGUUGAGGCCAGUUUCCCAGGCAACUUGGGGGAUAUUACUAUACUACAUGCUAGUUUACUCGGCCGGGUGGAAUCUAUACUCAAGCAGAUAAUCACACUUAAUCUCGUUCGGCAAAUUUAUAUGUACACGAAGGGAAAAAGGGAAAUGUUAAAGCUACUGAACGGUGAAAGGCCAGUCUGGUCGUCGUCUCUGGCCCUUUUGAGACCCCUUGGCUCGCCCCAACUGGCGCUUGAUUCUUUAUUCGCCUGGUCCAAGCUGGCCCCCGUUGGCCCUGUGGUCACAGACUCCGGCAUCUGCACACUCAUAGGGACCUGAUCCUCACCAUACAUCGGAGGGAUCGGGGUUUGCUGAGGAGCAUAUCCAUAAAAUUCGACUGCUGAGUUGGCAGUAGGGGGGUAGGUGAAGUGCGCCUGUUCAUCAGGCUCAGCCAUAAUGACGCUCACAGAGCGAGGCGCAACGGAAGUAGUUCGUCGACCUUGAGGGAAUGAUUUGAACGCCCUAUUACUGUAGAGGGCAGGUGUGGUUUGUUGCCGUAUCUGCUGCCCAUAGGCGUUUGGAGGAGGGGUGGGCAAGGUUAAUGUGACAUUGGCGAGAUCAUUGGCGGGGUCAUUCACGGCCAUGCCCGCGCGCCACUCGAUCAUUCCCUGUUCAAUGGGCUGCCAUUUACCCUUUCCCACAUGCCUGGGAGUAUUAUCAGUAUAACGCAAACGCAUCAAAUGAUUCCAUCUCCGAGCGGGGACUCACUUGUCCAGAAUAUCCCGUCGAGUAUAUUUGUAAUUUUCACAUCGCUCAACCACCUUUCGCCGGACGUCUCGGAUGGCUAUCCUCGUAUGAUAAUCCAGCUCGGGCCACCUGACAUCGGGCCCUUCGUAUUUACGGUCGCACCUGGACGUGAAAACAUCUAACUGUGACAGCACACGUCGCCCUCGAUGGAAAUAUGCCUGAAGGGUCUCAGCCUUCGCCAGCGGUGUGCAAUUGGAAGGAAUGGAACCAAUGAGAGGCACAGAGUCAGAAUUAAUGGUCAAAUCAUUGUUGAGUGUGUAAUAAAAGAGAGGGAAGAGAUGCGGAAUUUCGGGAUAUACCUGAAGGAGACCCCACAGGGAAAGCUGAGGCUUGAAUGACGCCUAUAACUUUGUCAGUAAUCGUCAAAAAGACAACCAUAAGAAUUGACGCACCUUGUUGCUUGAUUGGGAAUAGGAAGAUGUCUGUCUGAACCCCGUUUGGCCUCUGGACCUCUUGGAUGGCCUGAAUUCCUCUUCUUCUUCUUCUGGAUCCUGUUCGGAUGAAUAUUCAUCAUUAUCGCUCCUUGAUCCGCCAUCGAGAUUAGCGUAUGAGAUGCUGCGGCCCAUGGAUCUAAUCCUUGGUGAGGCUCGCACUGAACAGCUGUCCUUCCAAUUGAAGGCGCUUUUUGGCCGAUGUGGAGACCUUCUUAUUCUUCUUCGCAUCACUGUUCACUGUGCCGCUCAUAUGGCGGGACCCAAAGUCCAACUACCAAGACAAAUAUUAAACUUGCCACAAAGAAUGGCAAACAGCUCGACUUACACUAUGACUUCCAAGCCCUACAUCCUCCAACAACUUUCUAUUGUUCAUGAUUUGCUCAGCCCUUUCCCUUUCAUACUCCGUCUCACCUGCGAGACCUGUAUCUUUCCCUGCGCCCCUUUCGGACGAUAGGUUGAAAGAUGUGUUGCUAUAUCCCCGAUCACUGAAGAACAUAUUUUCAGGCUGUGGGUGAGGACCUAACCCAAGGGAGUGUGACUGGAGAUCAAAGUGAGGGGUAAAUGCCACUUGAGAAAAGUGCUUUUUGUCGCCCAAGCUAUCAGAUACUUUUCGCAAAUCAAGUUCGUGAGGGCUUCUACGAUCGGAACGAUAAUCAAGACUUGGCGUGAGCAAUCUGGUCGUAUCGUGCCCACCGUCGCUAGCGCCCGAAGUGGAACGGGACAUUGAGUAAUCGCCACCCGGACCAAACAUAGAUGGGUUGGCGGAACGGUCAUCUUCUGUCUGAAUAUGAAAAGCAGGGUGACCCCAAGGGUUUGGCUGACCACCCCCUGUGAUUGGAAGUAUAUCUGUCAGGUGCUCAUGAGCGCUAUGAGGUGAAGAAGAAUACCGUGAAGAAACUGUUUGUUCGGUAGCGGAAUUCAUAGGAUGUGCAUGGGAGAUUGUUCGGAUCAUUUGCUGAGGACCGCGAGAAUCAUACAUCGGCGUAGGAUCAGCGGGGUAAAAUGGCAAGGCCGGCGCCGUGCUUGGGUAAGUGCUGUUCAUGAGAUUCGGGAGCUGUAAAGAUACGCCUUGAGGAUACGGACGAUAGGCUUGAAUCGAGUACGCAGAGAUCGGAUGAGGCGAUUGGGUUGGCAGAGGAGGAGAGUACGUGCUUUGAGGAGCAAUGUGAAGAGACGAUUGGGGGUGAGGACGACCACUGCGAGGUGAUGCCGCAGGGGAGGUAUGCAGACCACUCUGACUACGAUCGCCGUCGAAGGACUGCGAGUGAAUCAUUGAAGUCAUGGUCGAUGAAAGGACAAAUUAAAAAGGUGGUGGAAAAACAGGAAUGAAGGUGUACAGGACGUCCGUUAAAAGGACGAGGCAGUCAAUAAAUGGCGUUUAGGUCUACCAGUAAACGACUGGCGUUUAGGUCUACUAGUAAAAGGCAGAGUCAGCUCAUCUGUUCGCCCCAAUCCUGUGUGGAUUGACGCAGUCACCCCCUUGGAGAAGCAAGGAUUCUCUAGGGAAGUGUGUUUCACUUACAAGUUCGUACUUUCUGAUGGAUCUCCUCGGUCAGGCGCGGGAAGAGAGGUGUCGAGAAAGCUGUGAGUGGACAAAGGAAAUGUGAAGCAGAUGAUGCAAGGUCGCCGAGAGCUGUACUGUCUAUUAUCUUGGAGCAAUAUGGGUGUCUACGAGGUACGAAACCCGAGAGACCUGGAAACAUCAGAAAAUGGAUGCCGUGUGAUUGAAGGAAGCAGGAUGUUGACGAGUGCCAGUUUAAAGGGAGAGAUGACGGUGAAGGCAACAGACCAGAACAGGAGAUAGUACCGUGGAUGUGAGCCGCCUUUGGCCCAAAGGCAUUAAAGUUCGACCCAAAGGUAUCAAUGAUAGUGGUCAGAAGACGCCAACGUCGGUGGCAUGUGAACAUUUAUGGCAUUCUCAGCUCAAAGAAGACUGACUGCUAUACCAAGUGCGCUGGUUUUUUUCCUACCGCAGAACUAUGGCAGAGAGACGCAUAGUAAGAAAGAAAAGAUUGAGAAUCGACUCACAGUGAAGAACCAAGACUUUUCGAAGGCGGUCAGUAUGCCUUGGCUGCCGUGUUGUUACUCCUGUAUCAAGAAUCCUCAAUAACGGUUGUUAUUCUCCAAGUAAAACAACUCACUGGUAGAUUCUUAUCUUAGCGAAAGGAUUGGCACAAAAGGGUUAUCUAAAAAACGCGAGUGAAGAAGAUUUGGUGGUUAUCUGCUGUGGAUGUUGGCUGGCGGUACCUCUUCUGAAAACAAUUUCUUUCUGAAAAGGUAACUUUGAAGGGAGAAGAAGAUGAUUUAAAAGCUUAUCAAUCAACCUACAAUACUGCACAUGAAUGGCAGUACUGUAUGGUUUCGUGUGUAUGCAGUUUACUUUCCACUCUGGCGAAUGUGGACAAGGUAAGCUGGCUAACAUAGUGGGCAGAGGAGGUUUGUAAAGCACGAAAGACACAGCGGACAAAGAGAAAGUGUGUAAGAGGAUUGUGUGUGUGCCGGCAAGUACCGAUUGAAGGCAGUGUGCGUAGAAUAUGAAUGCAAGGCUGGAGCCCUUUAUGCUGCCCUAACGUUAAGGAUGGAGAGUGCGUGCGAGACGCGUACUCACCAGGUGAAAAAGAAUGAAGCAAAAGGAUGUUCAGUGACUGUCGAUUUCUGGGCCAAAUGAAGGUCCUUUCAAAGGGGAAUGAUAACUGAUGAGGACCUUUGUUGAGCCUUUGGAUGAUGAGGAAGGGGUCAGAGGUGAUAUAAAUUUGUUUAUGGUGAGGUCUAGUGAGGAGUGGGAACGAGAGAGUAAGUGGACGAGGGGGAAAAACAAAAGAGAAACAAAGAGGGCGGCGCGGCCUCUAUGAAACACUAGUAAGAAGGCGUCGGGGGAUGGAAUCGGUGGUGUAGUGUCCUCGCCCUGCUGCUGGUUGAUGGCGGGGAUGGUUCUGCAUCUAGUAGCUGAUCUUGGUGCAAAAUUUCGACGCCUUGGAAUUCCACACCAGGCUGAUGCUGCCCCGAUCGGCGGAAGGUUCCAGUGCCCGGCAGUGAACAGCGCAACAACACACAGAUUAGAGAUGUGUCGGUUUGAUGUUUGUGACCCGUGGUCCGUGACCCGUGUUCUGCAGGACGCCCAAGGGCCAUCCAUCAAAUUCAUGCAUCAUUCAUCACCAAAUCUGGGUUUUUUUUAGGUUAUACCGCACGGCCCCA
rnacentral:sRNA from 1 species